rnacentral:rRNA from 1 species
UACGAAGGGGGCUAGCGUUGCUCGGAAUUACUGGGCGUAAAGCGCACGUAGGCGGUCUUUUAAGUCGGGUGUGAAAGCCCCGGGCUCAACCUGGGAAUUGCAUUCGAGACUGAAUAGCUAGGGUGCGGAAGAGGGAAGCGGAAUUUCCGGUGUAGCGGUGAAAUGCGUAGAUAUCGGAAGGAACACCAGUGGCGAAAGCGGCUUCCUGGUCCAGCACCGACGUUCAGGCACGAAAGCGUGGGGAGCAAACAGG